UACGUAGGGUCCGAGCGUUGUCCGGAAUUAUUGGGCGUAAAGGGCUCGUAGGCGGUUGGUCACGUCGGGAGUGAAAACUCAGGGCUCAACCCUGAGCGUGCUUCCGAUACGGGCCGACUAGAGGUAUGCAGGGGAGAACGGAAUUCCUGGUGUAGCGGUGGAAUGCGCAGAUAUCAGGAGGAACACCAGCGGCGAAGGCGGUGCUCUGGGCCGGAACUGACACUGAGGAGCGAAAGCGUGGGUAGCAAACAGG
rnacentral:rRNA from 1 species